GAUGAACGCUAGCGACAGGCUUAACACAUGCAAGUCGAGGGGCGAGCAUGAUUUGUUAGCAAUACAGAUUGAUGGCGACCGGCGCACGGGUGAGUAACGCGUAUGCAACUUACCUAUCAGAGGGGAUAGCCCGGCGAAAGUCGGAUUAAUACCCCAUAAAACAGGGGUCCCGCAUGGGAAUAUUUGUUAAAGAUUCAUCGCUGAUAGAUAGGCAUGCGCUCCAUUAGAUAGUAGGCGGGGUAACGGCCCACCUAGUCUUCGAUGGAUAGGGGUUCUGAGAGGAAGGUCCCCCACAUUGGAACUGAGACACGGUCCAAACUCCUACGGGAGGCAGCAGUGAGAAAUAUUGGUCAAUGGGCGUAAGCCUGAACCAGCCAAGUCGCGUGAGGGAUGAAGGUUCUAUGGAUCGUAAACCUCUUUUAUAAGGGAAUAAAGUGCGGGACGUGUCCCCCGUUUUGUAUGUACCUUAUGAAU
rnacentral:rRNA from 1 species